rnacentral:misc_RNA from 1 species
AAAAGUCGUAACAAGGUCUCCGUAGGUGAACCUGCGGAGGGAUCAUUACUGAGUUAUUACAACUCCAACCCAUGUGAACUUACCACUGUUGCCUCGGCGCAGAGGCCCGCUGAGAGACUUGUUUCUCGGUGGGUGGACGCGCCGGUGGACUACUAAACUCUUGUUAAUUUUGGUAUUCUGAAUCAAAAACUUAAUAAGUUAAAACUUUCAACAACGGAUCUCUUGGUUCUG